AUGUAUCCAGCUCCGAGCUCUCCAUGGUCUGUCCAUCCUGAUACUAACUCACACCCAAAGCUUGAGACAGGGAUCCCCUGCUCCGGGGGCCCAGCUGGGGCCGGGCCAGGCCACAGGUCCCUCCCACAGCACAGCCAGGGCCACCCCUCUCCCUCCUCCCUGCCUGCUUCCCUCCCUCCAGAGUGUCCCGGGCUGGGCCCAGCAGUGUGGCACAGCCCUCCUGUCCUCUGGGAAUGCCCCAGGAGUGUGGCACAGCCCUCCUGUCCUCUGGGAAUGCCCCAGGAACGUGGCACAGCCCUCCUGUCCUCUGGGAAUGCCCCAGGAGUGUGGCACAGGCCUCCUGUCCUCUGGGAAUGCCCCAGGAGUGUGGCACAGCCCCCCUGUCCUGUGGGAAUGCCCUGGGAGCAUGGCACAGCCCUCCUGUCCUGUGGAAAUGCCCCAGGAACGUGGCACAGCCCUCCUGUCCUCUGGGAAUGCCCUGGGAGCAUGGCACAGCCCUCCUGUCCUGUGGGAAUGCCCCAGGAAUGUGGCACAGCCCCCCUGUCCUGUGGGAAUGCCCCAGGAGUGUGGCACAGCCCUCCUGUCCUCUGGGAAUGCCCCAGGAGUGUGGCACAGCCCUCCUGUCCUCUGGGAAUGCCCUGGCAGUGUGGCACAGCCCUCCUGUCCUGUGGGAAUGCCCCAGGAACGUGGCACAGCCCUCCUGUCCUGUGGGAAUGCCCUGGCAGUGUGGCACAGCCCCCCUGUCCUGCAGCCACCGAGGGGCUGCCAGGCACCUCCCAGACACUUGGGAGUUGGCCUUGGAUUGCACCAGCUCUUUGUGCUCUUGGCUUUAGUUCUGGUUUUAAGCCAUGUGCUGGGCUUGGCUGGGUUUGGGUUCCCCUAGGGCUUUGGCUGGCUUUGCCCAGGGUUCUGUGCCCUGACCUUCCUGAGGGAUCUCUCCAGGUGCCCGUUCAGCUCCGCCCAGGGAGAGCUGGAAUGACCCGACCUUGGGAAGGGGAAUCCUGGCCGUGCCCAGUGAGGGAGGGCUGGGCUCAGGAGCUCACCCGCCGCAGCAGGGAGUGCAUUUUAAAAUGA
rnacentral:lncRNA from 1 species